rnacentral:rRNA from 1 species
AAACCAACAGGGAUUGCCUCAGUAACGGCGAGUGAAGCGGCAAAAGCUCAAAUUUGAAAGCCUCGGCAUUGUAAUUUCAAGGCGGCAGACCACACCGACCACAAGUCCAUUGGAACAUGGCGCCACAGAGGGUGACAGCCCCGUAGGUCGCAGCGCGUGUCUUCCGCCAAAGAGUCGAGUUGUUUGGGAAUGCAGCUCUAACGGUGGUAAAUUCCAUCAAAAGCUAAAUACCGGCGAGAGACCGAUAGCGAACAAGUACAGUGAUGGAAAGAUGAAAAGCACUUUGAAAAGAGAGUGAAACAGUACGUGAAAUUGUUGGAAGGGAAGGGUUUGGGAGCAGACACGGUUCGGCCGGGCCAGCAUCAAUUACGCGCGCGCCACAAAACGCCCGAGAACGUAAGCCGUCUCGGUGGUUAUAGCUCGGCGCCAUAGCGCGCGCGUGAUUGAGGACAGCAUAUUCAGGAUGCUGGCGUAAUGCUUCCAAACCGCCCGUCUUGAAACACGGACCAAGGAGUCUAACGUCCAUGCAAGUGUUUGGGUGCAAAACCCCA